AAGAGGUGUUUGCAAAAUGCUUGUUGGGA
rnacentral:piRNA from 1 species